rnacentral:rRNA from 1 species
UUUCUUUAGAAUAUUUUAUUGUGAUUAAAAAAGAUUUUAGCUAAUGUUAUUUUAUAAAUAUUUUUUAUUGUUGAAGAAAUUAGGAUAUAUUUAUAUAUUUAUAAUAAUUAAAAUUUUUAAAAAUAUUUUAUUUGAUUUUUAAUUUUAUAUAAAAAUUAUAAUUAUUAAUAUAUAGAAAUUUUGAUUAAAAAGAUUUUAAUUUUUUUGUUAUAUUUUUUAUUAUAAUAAUUUUUUUUUUUAAUGUUUACUUUCAUUAAAUAAUAAUUUAAUUAUUAUUAUUCUAUUUAUUAUUUAUUACUGAAUUAAUAAUAAGUUUGAACUAGAUUUAAUAUAAAAUAUUUCUUAAAAUUUGAGAAAAUUUAAGUUUUGAUUUUUUAUUUCUACUCGAUGAAAAUUAAAUUGUAUCUUUAGCGUGAUUGGUCAAAGGUA